rnacentral:lncRNA from 1 species
CAUGGAAUUUGGAGAGAUUGUGGUGAAGUUUAAUAUUUUUGAUGCUAUGAAGCAUCCAUAUGAAGAUCAUUUUGUAUUUCAUGUUGAUUUGCAUGAUAAACUAACCAAUGACCAUAUCUCUAAUCCCCUUUAUGAUUUUAAUGUUUCAUCAUUCAUAGACUCAUACACUUCUAAUGCAUGCAAUAAUUCUAAAGUAUGUAGUUUUUAUGUUGUUGAAUCUUUAAAUAUUGUUGUUGAUAAAACUAUUGUAGAAUCAUGUUAUGCUAACACAAUUGCUAGAGGAAGGACACAACAAUUUGAUUAAAUUGUUGAGGUACAAGCUAUAGAAUUAAUGUAUGCUCCUUUAGUUCCAUAUGUUUUGCAGGCACCUAUACUGCAGAUUAGAACUUUCUAUACAAGUCAUUCAUCAUUGGAUGCAACUAUGGAGGGAUUCUUCAUGCCUAUACUCAUUCUUUUUCCUCCAUGAAUUAGGGAGUUUUCUUUGUCUCUUUCUUUACUUUUAUUACACUUGUCAAAUUCUACUGAUUGAUAUGUAUGUCUCUAUCUUUCGAUUGUACAACAUUGGGGACAAAGUGUAGUUUAAGUGUGAGGGACUAAUUAGAAGAAGUUUGAAGGUUUAUGUUAUUGCAUGUUUUCUUUGUUUUUUUUUAGGUUUAUGUUAUUGCAUUCUUUUCCAUGAAUUUUUUAGGUUUUGCUUAAGUAGUGGGCAUUUUCUCUUAUGCUUUCUCUAAUUUAUGUCAUAAUAUUUGUGAUGUGAACCCAUGCAUUUUAGUAUGUCAAGUUAUUUUUGAGAAUUAAGAGGUUAAAGCAAAUAUGGUAGACUUGUCCCUUGUGGUAUAUCUUAUGAUGUGAACCCAUGCAUUUUCUCUUAUACUUUUUAUAUGUCAUAUAAUAUUUUCUUCAUGUGUGACUGCACUCUGGAUUACCUACCCUAUAGAACUUGACUUGUUUCUUGUUAAUACUUGAUAUUCAUAUGCACAUAUUGAAAUGAUGUAGGCAUUUCUUUCAAAUAAGCCACUAGCCAUAUAAGCCGACCUUAAAAGAAUUUAUCCUUUGACAACCCCUUUGAGCCUUUUUACCCCUUUCUUUGUUCUUUAGCUCAUUACAAGUUUAUAAGUGAAAAACCAUAAUUGUCAUAACCUUAGGAAAUUUUGGAGCUUUGGAAUUGUUUUGGGAAUGGGUAUUAAGUAAAAAGGUGUUUUGCUCUUCAUUUUUUUUUUUUUGAGUUCUUAGUUUUUUCAUUGGUUGGUUGAUACUAAUGCAUAAAUAAAAUGUGGUACUCAUUCAAAAAAAAAUCAAUCAAAUAAAUGAUUCUGUGGGACAAGCAAGGAAGAUUGGAAGGAGAAUUUGUAUUCCUUAUUUUUGAGAUUGAUUUCAUUUACUUUAUGCUUAUUCUCCAUUGCUCCGCUAUUUUCUUUGGUCUUAAGCUACAUAUCCUAUAUUUUAUCCCACAUUGUCAUUGGCCCCAUUACAACCUUGAAAAUUCCUUUUGAUCUUUUAUGUUCAUAUGUUUUGAAGGUUAAUGUUAGAAACUUGUCAAGCCUAUGGUGGUGUAUGUUUUUCAUGAAGUGUCUUGAGUGUAAACACUUGCAAACUAAACGCUUGAGUGCAAACAAUUUACAGAGAGUAUAUCUUAUGAGGUUCUAUCAUAGUUAUGACCUGCCUCUUGAUUUGAUUGGUUUCUUUGCAUACUUAAAAUGUUUGGAUAAUAUUGAUAGAUACUUUGAUUCAUUUUCUAUUUGUGUAUUUGAGUUUGCCCACUUUUUUGCAGUGCCUUGAAUUCAUUGUGAAGUAUGUGAUUUUCUUAGGAUUUGCAUUCUCAAGUUUUUUUUCUUACAUGACUCACUUUUGUGCAUAUUCAUUAGCAUAGACAUGUUUCUUGAUUUUGCCAAGGAGUGCAAAAGGUUAAGUGUGGGGGUAUUUGAUGAACAAUAUAUUGCACCUUAUUCACAACCUUAUUUUACCAUUAUUAAUGAUCUUUGAUACUUAUUUGAAUUUGUUUAGCA